UCCUGUGGUUCGUUUUCCCGUGCAUUUGCAGAGCAUGGUGCACGUGCACCUGAUUGCCCUCCCCUCCCCCACUCUUACUAAGCUGUGCUGUGAGUUCAGAAACAGGACAGAGCAGUGAUGCAGUGACGCAUCCUAAAACCCGGAAGUAAGCAAUGUGAUUUCUCCUCCAUAGGAUUUUGGAUAUUUAUGCACUGUAUUCAUGUGCAAUGCCUAAAUUAGUGAAGUUUACACAGGCACGUGGGGGGGGGGCAGCUCGGGGGAUGAGAGGAGUGCAUGCAGACACGUGAUGUAAAGUCUUGCUUUUACGUAAAUUGAAGAACUGAAGUAAAGAUCGUCUUGUUUUUUAAAUGUAUGCACGCCUGGAAAUCCCUCUUGUGUCCACGUGUGCAACAAAUAUUGGAGGCACUGCUGAGGUAUUAAUGUUUCGCCGUGUCUGUGUGUGACACCAACUCGGACGGAGUUUUCCCCUGACGGGAGCGAGCAGGGCUGGAGCACCGGACGUGCACAGCAGGUUGCAACUGGAUCAGCUCAAAGAGGUGAGAUGGCUGACAAUUAAGAAAACAGAGUUCAGUGAGGAAGAGACGGCUUGGUCUUCAACAGGAUGCCAGGAUCACAUUUUUAACACACCGUUUAAAGGGCUUUCUUGUCCGCAGCUGAACAUCCAGCAUACCACACAGAGAUGGAGAAUGACAGCACGCUCUCGAUGGUUGCCCGGUAGAAGGACACCAGCAGCUUCUUGUUCAGUCUGUUCCUCCGAAGCACCCUCAUGAAGUGCAGUCGCUGCUGGGCCUUUUUAACUGCUGCAGUGGUGUGUGCAGCUGAGGCUCUCCGAAAUUUGAACCCCGAGGAACUUAAAGAGACAACUCCCCAGAAGAAGAAAUAACCUGCAGUUACGGGGAUGCUGACUGGCCUUUGCGCAAACAGUUCCAGGUGACAAACGGGCAUACUAAUCCAGAGGGAGUUGAGGAGGAGAGGCUCCCCUUAGACUUGACUUUCCCCGAAACAUCAACAAGUGACUGUGCUACGACCGAGUUCCAGGUGACAAACGGGCAUACUAAUCCAGAGGGAGUUGAGGAGGAGAGGCUCUCCUUAGACUUGACUUUCCCCGAAACAUCAACAAGUGACUGUGCUACGACCGAGUUCCAGGUGACAAACGGGCAGACUAAUCCAGAGGGAGUUGAGGAGGAGAGGCUCCCCUUAGACUUGACUUUCCCCGAAACAUCAACAAGUGACUGUCCUACUACCGAGUUCCAGGUGACAAACGGGCAGACUAAUCCAGGGAGGGAGUUGAGGACGAGACGCUCUCCUUGGAACUUUAUGUCUACAUAAGCAUCAAACAGUGACUGUGCUACUACCGAGGGAAACAAACGUUUGUGAAACGCAGCUGGACGUCAGCAGAAAGUGCUGCUGUGGAACAACACUUGGGUUAUGAAAUGGACAAUCAAGAACCAGGUUCCAGGGAAAGAUGCAUGUGAGGAUUGUAUCCCUGCCGAACCUCAAGCCCUAACAAAUAGGGACUGGGGAGCCGUUAAGUAUUACAUGAACAUUUCAAUUUCUUCUCUCCGAAUGUAAAUGAAAUAAAAUUGAACCAAGGAAAAAUACGUUCAAUGUUGAAAGAAGGAUUUCAAGUACCACUACCAAAACUAGGGGCUUUACCUAAACCAAACCAAAUUUUCAUUUUUGAAUCGUCAACUAAUAUAAAUUAAAGGGAAAUCAAUUGCAUUCCGAUUAUGCUGCUAGAAAGAAUCAUCCAUGUUUUCAAAGAUUUCCUUUUUUGCUUUUAGGGUUUUCCCUCUCCUGUAGUGUAGAAAAUAUCUUUUUGUGCAUGUAAAUGUUUUUCAAAGUCUAAAAUCCCUCAUUGAAGCAUGGAAACAUUUCACAGGAGAGAAACUUUAUACAAAUUUGAACCUCAAAAUGACCAGAAUAUGUCAUUGUUAAAUGUAACUCAAAAGGAGGUAAAAGUCUACUGAUUUGUUAGGCCUGUUUGUUUUGUUUUUUGGGUCAUGGGAUUGGUCAAGUUGUACAUUUUGUUUUAACGAUAUAGAAACACCCCAAUAAUAUACAAAUAAAUAUUUAUAGCAUUAAAAUAAUGUUGUAGAGAGUUUAUAUGAAUUAUACAUUUUUCUCAAGAAUUACUAAUUGUUGCCUCUAAGAAAAAACAAUGUUGAACGAAAAGGAUCUUUAGGGGAUUAUUGAUUUGGUCUCCAUGGUGUUUCAAUGUUACUGCCAUGUCUACUGUCUAGUUAUAUUCUAUGUUAAGAUGAGGCUAAUCACCUAAGUAAUGACUUAUUUUACCAGCAAUGUGAAUUUGUUGGUGUAAAAAAUAUCAGAGUAGAAUGUAAAUGUUCAUGAUGCUGUUCUGCAGUUUCUUUGGUAACAAGGAAAGUCCAUUCAACUCAAUAAUGUCUCUAGUAACUCUGAUCCCUUCCAAGAUAUGAAAACUAGAAAUAUGUGUGUGUCUGAUCCCUUCCAAGAUAUGAAAACUAGAAAUAUGUGUGUGUGUGUGUAUAAUGGACCUCAUAAGUGCUGACUGCUAGAAACUGGGCCCCACUAAGUGGGUAAAAAACUAGCUUAUUGACAAAAGCUUGGAAUUAUGUUUAUUUGAAGUGAUUUUUGUGAUUCUAAUUUUUUUUCUAUAUUGCCUGAUUUUUUACGGAGGUCUAGUAUAGUUGGAAAGGGUGGACCCCACAAUUGGGUAAAAUCAGUUCGGGCCCCACAAUUGAGUUGCACAAGGAUGUGUGUGUGUGUGUGUGUGUGUGUGUGUGUGUGUGUGUGUGU